GGAUCUGCAAAGCAGCUGCGGUCAACAAGAACAAAGAGCAGCAUGCCCGAUCUGACAAACCCUGGAGAAGACCUCUACCCGCAUGGACUGCAAUCCUUCUCCAAAGGUGCUCCCCGAGCUGAAGAGAAAGAGGCGACAAUCAUAUGGUUCACACCCCCAUAGACUUGAACUACUGUUGGUAGGCUUUUUGGGAGAUCUUUGCACAUUGUUUCCGCUCAUGAGCGCACGGUGCUUGUUUGGCAUCAAUGGCUGUUUUUAUGGAUGCAGCACAAGGUAUUAAGUGCGCAUUGUGUUGGUGAGCAGAGCACAACCCAGGAGGCCUCAUGGAAGCUACACUCAGGCGCCUGGGUGAAGUAGAGAUCAUACCGAGCCCUGGAGAGUCCAAGUUUGUGCAUCCACGGACCAUUAUGUACCACCUUGAUGGU
rnacentral:lncRNA from 1 species